rnacentral:lncRNA from 1 species
AGAUGGGGCGGAGCCAUCCUAUCCGGGUCCCUGCCCCGAUUUCAACCUCUUUAUUCCUGGAAUUUUUGUUUGUUUGUUUGAGAUGGAGUCUCGCACUGUUUCCCGGGCUGGAGUGCAAUGGCGCGAUCUUGGCUCACUGCAACCUCCGCCUCCCGGGUUCACGCGAUUCUCCUGCCUCAGCCUCCCGAGUAGCUGGGAUUACAGGCGCACACCAUCACACCCGGCUAAUUUUUUGUAUUUUUAGUAGAGACGGGGUUUCAUCAUCUUGGCCAGACUGGUCUUGAACUCCUGACCUCGUGAUCCGCCCACCUUGGCCUCCCAAAGUGCUGGAAUUACAGGCAUGAGCCACUGCGCCCGGCCAAUUUUUUUUUUUUUUUUCAGACAGGGUCUCACUCUGUUGCCCAGGCCGGUGUGCAGUCUUGGCUCACUGCAGCCUCGACUUCCCAGGCUCAAGCGAUCCUCCCACCUCCAGAGUAGCUGGGACUACAGGCGUGUGAGCCACCAUACCCGGGUAGUUUUUUUUUUUUUCUUUUUUUUGAGAUGGAGUAUCGCUCUGUCUCCCAGGCUGGAGUGCAGUGGCGCGAUCUCGGCUGACUGCAACCUCCGCCUCCCGGGUUCAAGCAAUUCCCUGCCUCAGCCUCCCGAGUAGCUGGGAUUAUAGGCGUCCGCCAUCAUGCCCGGCUAAUUUUUUUGUGUUUUUAGUAGAGAUGGGGUUUCACCAUCUUGGCCAGGCUGGUCUUGAACUCCUGACCUCGUGAGCCACCCACCUCGGCCUCCCAAAGUACUGGAAUUACAGGCAUGAGCCACCGCGCCCGGCCACCCGGAUAAUUUUUUUAAAAAAUUAUUUGUAGAGAUGGAGUCUGGCUAUGUUGCCCAGGCUGGGCUCAAGCAAUCAUCCUGCUCCAACUUCCCAAAGUGCUGGGAUUACAGGCGUGAGCCACCACACCUAGCCUCCCUAAGAAUUUGUCAGUCUUAUUAUUCAUCUCUGACGCUUACUGGCUUGAGUCAGCCCUUUCUGUCGCAUACCGUGCAGCUUGCCCGAGGCUGCCCAGGUUUCUGCACUGAGAGUCCCAAACAAACUGGGCAGUUGGUGAAUGAGCUGAGGUGAUUUCAAGGGUGGCUGGCAAAGGUGCCAUUCUUUUGUUCGUUCAUUCAUUCAUUCAUAAAUACGAAUGGAGUGGCUACUAUGUGGCAGGCACCAAGUGCUGGGAUGCUGCAGGGAAUGAGCAAGCCAGGUGGUCACUGCUCAUUGAAUUUACUCUCUAGUGGUGGAGACGGCAAGUGAGCAGACAGCUAGACACUGUGAGCUCUGUUCUGUACGAGAGGGUGUGCCCAGAGAAGGACACCCAGUCCUUGGUGGCUUUGUUAGCCAUUUAAUAUAAGAAACCAUUUCUACUCUGUGCCAAACAUUAUGGUCCAUUAUCCCACUUAAUCCCCACAGCAGUUCUGUGAAGAAAGUUUUUUGGUUUUGUUUUUUACUGAGUUUCCAUUUUAGACAUCUCAGCUUCUUUUUCCAGCCCCCUCCAUGGAUCUGCUCAGAGCUGGCCUCACUCUUGGGACUUACCUUGGGCAGGAGUGGCCUGGAGCCUCCAAGGCACCUGCCUCUUCAGUCACUCCACGCGUUUGUGUAGAUUGUUAACCUUGCAGGUCCCGGGGUUUCGUAGGAGUGAUUUUUUUUUCCCCUUUCUGUCUGCUUGUUUUGGACAUGUGAAGGGCGCCUUUCUAUAGUCUUUGGUUUCCACUCUCACAGCUGAUGUGGAUGCUACUGGAGACAUUGAGAUGGCCAGGUCAAUUGGCUGGAUGGGCUGUUUCUGGAGUCCUUGACUGGAACCCCGCUAUACCGCCAGUGUGGCCUCAUUAAAGGGGGUGUGUAGUGAGGCCUGAACCUCUAGGUCUAACCUGGAAUAUUCUCUUCAAGGCCAUGUGACCUUGGAUAAGCCCCUCCCCAUCUUUGACCUAUAGUUUCCUUGCCUGAACCAUUAGGGUGUUGGGCCCUCUGAUUUAAGAUUCUGUGAUUCACGUGGCUGUCUUGUGGAUAACUGGUAACAAUGCUGAGGUCACCUUGACUUUCACUGGUGCUGACCCAGGACUGGAACAGGGCCCCUCUGGUCUGCCCCAUGGGGCCUCUUGGGUCACCCAAACUGGCUGAGAUAUGGGAAGACUGCCGCUCUGUCUCUAACUCCU